CAGCGGUCGCGUUCACUAAUCGUUAUACCCUUUAGGGCUUGUUGCGUUCGAAACUCGCAGUGCGUCGCGAGAGAGAUGGGGGGAGGCCAUGGUGAGGGCACAACCUACAAAGGUAUGACAGUGCAUGCUCCGAAGCGUUGGCAUACCGUCACUGGCAAGGGGCUUUGCGCUGUUAUGUGGUUCUGGGUAUUGUACAGGGCAAAGCAAGAUGGCCCUGUAGUAUUGGGCUGGAGACAUCCUUGGGAGGGUCAUGAUGAUCAUGGCCAUGGACAUUAAAAUUAGCAAGCGUUGACACGGAGAUCAUGCACGAGACAAGCUGAAGGAUCCGCGGUUGGGCGUAUGUGAUACGAAUGUUCACUUUGCUCAAUUCCUCCAAUAAGUUUGCUGUGGAAGAGAUUUCCUUUUUGGACGUUUUCCUGAACAUAUGUUAUGUUACAACUCUAGACCCUGUAAACUUGGAUGACAGCUGUGGUUGUUUAAAUAAAUUGUUCAUGUCUUAUGUUUUUAAUAGAGCUAUUUACCAUGAGAAGACUCAAAAUUCGUGUGUUCUUGUGCGGACGCCAAAUUUUGGGUAAAUUCCUGUGUUUGGAUGGGCGGGUCAAGACAAUUUUAGCCAACGAUGUUAUCAUAUUGGCAGGAAAAUAAACCGGUCAGUUUAGCUUGGUAUGGGUUUUUACAGCCUUGCGGGGUAUGAGCUGAACCAGAUAUGAAUUACAUA